CAGUCGACGAACUUCCGUUAAUUGAUCAGGACGUGCUUGCACUGAAUGAGAUUUUAACACGAAGUGAGUGGCGGACGGGUGAGUAACACGUGGGUAACCUGCCCAGAAGCAGGGGAUAACACCUGGAAACAGAUGCUAAUACCGUAUAACAGAGAAAACCGCCUGGUUUUCUUUUAAAAGAUGGCUCUGCUAUCACUUCUGGAUGGACCCGCGGCGCAUUAGCUAGUUGGUGAGGUAACGGCUCACCAAGGCGAUGAUGCGUAGCCGACCUGAGAGGGUAAUCGGCCACAUUGGGACUGAGACACGGCCCAGACUCCUACGGGAGGCAGCAGUAGGGAAUCUUCCACAAUGGACGCAAGUCUGAUGGAGCAACGCCGCGUGAGUGAAGAAGGGUUUCGGCUCGUAAAGCUCUGUUGUUAAAGAAGAACGUGGGUGAGAGUAACUGUUCACCCAGUGACGGUAUUUAACCAGAAAGCCACGGCUAACUACGUGCCAGCAGCCGCGGUAAUACGUAGGUGGCAAGCGUUAUCCGGAUUUAUUGGGCGUAAAGCGAGCGCAGGCGGUCUUUUAAGUCUAAUGUGAAAGCCUUCGGCUCAACCGAAGAAGUGCAUUGGAAACUGGGAGACUUGAGUGCAGAAGAGGACAGUGGAACUCCAUGUGUAGCGGUGAAAUGCGUAGAUAUAUGGAAGAACACCAGUGGCGAAGGCGGCUGUCUGGUCUGUAACUGACGCUGAGGCUCGAAAGCAUGGGUAGCGAACAGGAUUAGAUACCCUGGUAGUCCAUGCCGUAAACGAUGAUUACUAAGUGUUGGAGGGUUUCCGCCCUU
rnacentral:rRNA from 1 species